AACGAACGCUGGCGGCAUGCCUAACACAUGCAAGUCGAACGAGACCUUCGGGUCUAGUGGCGCACGGGUGCGUAACGCGUGGGAACCUGCCCUUAGGUUCGGAAUAACUCCCCGAAAGGGGUGCUAAUACCGGAUAAUGUCUUCGGACCAAAGAUUUAUCGCCUUUGGAUGGGCCCGCGUUGGAUUAGCUAGUUGGUAGGGUAAAAGCCUACCAAGGCGACGAUCCAUACCUGGUCUGAGAGGAUGAUCAGCCACACUGGGACUGAGACACGGCCCAGACUCCUACGGGAGGCAGCAGUGGGGAAUAGUGGAAAAUGGGCGAAAGGCUGAUCGAGCAAUGACGCGUGAGUGAUGAAGGCCUUAGGGUUGUAAAGCUCUUUUACCCGGGAUGAUAAUGACAGUACCGGGAGAAUAAGCUCCGGCUAACUACGUG
rnacentral:rRNA from 1 species